ACUGAAUAGAUACCCUGGUAGUCCAUGCUGUAAACGAUGAGAACUAGAUGUUAGGGGCAUGACCUCUUAGUAUCGAAGCUAACGCGAUAAGUUCUCCGCCUGGGGAGUACGGCCGCAAGGUUAAAACUCAAAGAAAUUGACGGGGGCCCGCACAAGCGGUGGAGCAUGUGGUUUAAUUCGAUGCAACGCGAAGAACCUUACCUACCUUUGAAUCCACGGAACCUAGCAGAGAUGUUGGGGUGCCUUCGGGAACCGUGAGACAGGUGCUGCAUGGCUGUCGUCAGCUCGUGUCGUGAGAUGUUGGGUUAAGUCCCGUAACGAGCGCAACCCUUGUCCUUAGUUGCCAUCAGGUUAUGCUGGGCACUUUAAGGAGACUGCCGGUGAUAAACCGGAGGAAGGUGGGGAUGACGUCAAGUCCUCAUGGCCCUUACAGGUAGGGCUACACACGUGCUACAAUGGGCAGUACAGAGGGAAGCCAACCCGCGAGGGGAGCGAAUCUCAUAAAGCUGUUCGUAGUCCGGAUUGGAGUCUGCAACUC
rnacentral:rRNA from 1 species